rnacentral:rRNA from 1 species
UACGUAGGGGGCAAGCGUUGUCCGGAAUCAUUGGGCGUAAAGAGCGUGUAGGCGGCCCGGUAAGUCCGCUGUGAAAGUCGGGGGCUCAACCCUCGAAUGCCGGUGGACACUGUCGGGCUAGAGUGCGGAAGAGGCGAGUGGAAUUCCUGGUGUAGCGGUGAAAUGCGCAGAUAUCAGGAGGAACACCAAUUGCGAAGGCAGCUCGCUGGGACGUAACUGACGCUGAGACGCGAAAGCGUGGGGAGCAAACAGG